CCCUUAGAUGUCCUGGGCCGCACGCGCGCUACAAUGACUUAUUCAGAAAGUUUACCUGGUUCGGAAGAAUUCAGGGUAAUCUUUGUAAUACAAGUCGUGUUAGGGAUCGAUCUUUGCAAUUAUAGAUCUUGAACGAGGAAUGCCUAGUAAGCGCAGUUCAUCAGGCUGUGCUGAUUACGUCCCUGCCCUUUGUACACACCGCCCGUCGCUCCUACCGAUUUCGAGUGGUCCGGUGAACCAUCUGGAUUGGAUCGCAAGAUUCGAGAAGUUUAGUAAACCUUACCACUUAGAGGAAGGAGAAGUCGUAACA
rnacentral:rRNA from 1 species